GGGGGAUAUUGCACAAUGGAGGAAACUCUGAUGCAGCAACGCCGCGUGAGGGAAGAAGGUUUUCGGAUUGUAAACCUCUGUCCUUGGUGAAGAUAAUGACGGUAGCCAAGGAGGAAGCUCCGGCUAACUACGUGCCAGCAGCCGCGGUAAUACGUAGGGAGCGAGCGUUGUCCGGAUUUACUGGGUGUAAAGGGUGCGUAGGCGGCAGAGCAAGUCAGGCGUGAAAACUAUGGGCUUAACCCAUAGCCUGCGUUUGAAACUGUUCAGCUUGAGUGAAGUAGAGGCGGAUGGAAUUCCCGGUGUAGCGGUGGAAUGCGUAGAGAUCGGGAGGAACACCAGUGGCGAAGGCGGUCUGCUGGGCUUUAACUGACGCUGAGGCACGAAAGUGUGGGGAGCAAACAGGAUUAGAUACCCUGGUAGUCCACACUGUAAACGAUGAUUACUAGGUGUGGGGGGACUGACCCCCUCCGUGCCGGAGUUAACACAAUAAGUAAUCCACCUGGGGAGUACGGCCGCAAGGUUGAAACUCAAAGGAAUUGACGGGGGCCCGCACAAGCAGUGGAGUAUGUGGUUUAAUUCGACGCAACGCGAAGAACCUUACCAGGUCUUGACAUCCAACUAACGAAGUAGAGAUACAUUAGGUGCCCUUCGGGGAAAGUUGAGACAGGUGGUGCAUGGUUGUCGUCAGCUCGUGUCGUGAGAUGUUGGGUUAAGUCCCGCAACGAGCGCAACCCUUGUUUUUAGUUGCUACGCAAGAGCACUCUAAAGAGACUGCCGUUGACAAAACGGAGGAAGGUGGGGACGACGUCAAAUCAUCAUGCCCUUUAUGACCUGGGCUACACACGUACUACAAUGGCCGUUAACAGAGGGAAGCAAGACCGCGAGGUGGAGCAAAACCCUAAAAACGGUCCCAGUUCGGAUCGCAGGCUGCAAUUCGCCUGCGUGAAGCCGGAGUUGCUAGUAAUCGCGGAUCAGCAUGCCGCGGUGAAUACGUUCCCG
rnacentral:rRNA from 1 species